GUGAAACCAAAUGGAGCGUUAAAGACCGCCCAAUCCCCUCCGUCUCCAACUCUCCUUCAAGUUCUCUAAGGCACCGCGCGAGGGUUUCCUUUUCUCUUCCUUUUCUCCAAAACCCUAGCAGUCGGCGGUCGCUUCCUCUGGCCAUCCUAUGGACAAAUCGGAUAUGCCCUUGUAUGUGUUGAGCAAGUGCUGAAUGAGUGUCAGGAGAAUUUUGGUGAUUCGUGUAGGAUUGUUCAGACAUAUAUUACUCAACCAUGUUUGUGUCUCGCUAAUUUUUUUUCAACGUUUAGUUCAUAGAUGUAUUGUAAGAACAUAUUUACCCUUUGUUGUGUGAAAUCGUAUUACGGAUGUUUAGUUCUAUACAUGGAUUGAUGAGAUAUAUUAUUUUUAUUAUUAUGGAUUAAUCUAAAUCUAUGUCGAUAUUA